rnacentral:misc_RNA from 1 species
GAUGAAGAACGUAGCGAAAUGCGAUAAGUAGUGUGAAUUGCAGAAUUCAGUGAAUCAUCGAAUCUUUGAACGCACAUUGCGCCCCUUGGUAUUCCAUGGGGCAUGCCUGUUCGAGCGUCAUCUACAACCUCAAGCCCUGCUUGGUGUUGGGCGUCUGUCCCGCCCCCGCGCGCGGACUCGCCCCAAAUCCAUUGGCGGCGGCCCUUGCCUCCCUCUCGCGCAGCACAUUGCGCUUCUCGAGGCGUCGCGGGCCGCGCUCCACGAAGCACGCAAACCAGUCUUUGACCUCGGAUCAGGUAGGGAUACCCGCUGAACUUAAGCAUAUCAAUAAGCGGAGGA